UGAAGGACGUCGAUGUGGGUGAAGAUUUGACGGAUGGCUUUGAGAAGAUCAUUGUCGUUAUCCAUGUCGAUUUCUUCUCCCCCUCUUCGCAUGGGUUCCGAAUUAUGGGGAACUCUGAUUUCGCGGAACCCAUGCGAUAUCCAGAGUUCCGAACGGCCGGAAUUGAAGAUCGGAACCCAAUCAGAGUUCGGAACCCAUGCGAUCAGAGUUUCGGAACUGGAGAUCUCUGGAUUGGGUUCCGAUCGGCAGUUCCGAUCGCGAGUUUCGGAUCUCUGGAUUGGGUUCCGAUCGCGAGUUUCGGAACUGCCG
rnacentral:lncRNA from 1 species